AGAAUCAACGCUGGCGGCGUGCCUAACACAUGCAAGUCGCACGAGAAAGUGGAGCAAUCCAUGAGUAAAGUGGCGCACGGGUGAGUAACACGUGAAUUAUCUACCUCCGAGUGGGGAAUAACUGAGAGAAAUCUUAGCUAAUACCGCAUAACACUUACGAGUCAAAGCAGCAAUGCGCUUGGAGAGGAGUUCGCGGCCGAUUAGUUAGUUGGCGGGGUAAUGGCCCACAAGACGAUGAUCGGUA
rnacentral:rRNA from 1 species